UACGGAGGGUGCAAGCGUUAUCCGGAUUUACUGGGUUUAAAGGGUGCGUAGGUGGGCAGGUAAGUCAGUGGUGAAAUCUCCGAGCUUAACUCGGAAACUGCCAUUGAUACUAUCUGUCUUGAAUAUCCUGGAGGUAAGCGGAAUAUGUCAUGUAGCGGUGAAAUGCUUAGAUAUGACAUAGGACACCAAUUGCGAAGGCAGCUUACUACGGGAUUAUUGACACUGAGGCACGAAAGCGUGGGGAUCAAACAGG
rnacentral:rRNA from 1 species